GCGGAAGGCUGGAUGGCCGCUUCGUGAUCCGAUUGCCGGAUCCACGGGGAGGAAAGUCCGGACUCCAAAAAGAGACGGUGCCGGGUAACACCCGGGCGGGGCAACCCGACGGAAAGCGCCACAGAAAUGAUACCGCCACGCCACAGGUCGGGAAACCGAAACCACGGCGGGGUAAGGGUGAAAAGGUGGGGUAAGGGCCCACCGCGCCGCUGGCAACAGGGGCGGCAUGGCAAGCCCCACCGGGAGCAAUGCCAAAUAGGGACCGCGCGCCACCGGCCUUCGGGCCGGGGCGGGGCCGCUUUUGCCCCAGCAGGUCCGGGUUGGCAGCUGUAGCCCUGCGGGCAAUCGCAGGGUCAGAGGAAUGGUCAUCCACGGGGGAUAGCCCCCCGUGACAAAAUCCGGCUUACAGGCCUUCCGCGCGU
rnacentral:RNase_P_RNA from 1 species